rnacentral:lncRNA from 1 species
CCUGUGCCACAGGGGCCUCAUUGAGAUGCCAGAUUGCUUCUUCAAGACCCUCCAAGGGGGCACGUCAAAUUCUGAUGGGCCUCACCUUGGACAAGGCUGGGGUUUUUAGACCAGCUUUCACAGCCUGGUUGCUCCAGUGUCAAGACUGACAGUGAUCCAGGGACCUUUAGGGCAGACAACUUCAUUGUGACAGAAUGAGACCUGUGGCCUUUGGACCUCGGUGGGGCCAUAUGUCACCCCUGCAGGCCCCAGGCCCCCCAAGCCACCAAGAGUCACAGAGGCAGGGAGGGGACAGGAGGAGAUCUUGCCCCCACUGCAUCUGGCUCUCCUGCCCUCACCAUCCGCAGCAGGGGGUACACUACAGCUUCGGCUUUACAAACACAGGGAAAAAGCUAACACAACCUUUAAGCCGCAUUAACAGGAUCAAGGGAUGUAUUAUUAGUCCUGCUAGCCUCCGAACCAUUGAGAGUACUUCUGAAAGACAGUGCUUACUUAGCUUGGGCUCCAGAUUUUAAGAGACCCGUUAAUAAUUUGGAAGGUUUAUUAGCAGACUGCAGAUCCAAAAAUGGUCCUCCUCUAUUUGGGAAGAUAUUGCAGGAAACAAUGCUCUAGGAGAGACCACAGCUGGGCCAGCCAGAUUGGUCAAAUCCACCCUAGAAAUGAAUUAGGGAGAAGAGAUGGCAGCCAGAUGGCUUUUUAAAUGUUGAUAAGCUGAAGUGUGGCCAGAAAAAGAGACCAGAGAAUGAGGGAAUAAGUCACCUAAAGCAUGAUGGCAGAAUCUAAGCAUAAACGCUUAGCAGAGAAAAUAAACACACCGUCCAUAUACACCAUGCCCAGCCCCAAGCCCAGGGCAGAUCUGAUACUCUCCUGCUGACCCUGACACAGCCUCAGAAUACUUCUCAACACAGACCGCCAGCUGUCACUGCAAUCCAGCACAGUUGGCACAUCAGGUAGAAACUAUUUCCCACCGCUGAUUUAGGAGUACAUAAAAGCUGUCUUUAUUUUAUUUCAUUUUAUUGAAUUUUUUAUCUUUUAAUUUUACUUUUUAUUAUUUAUUAUUUUUAUUUAUUUAUUUACUUUUUGAGAUGGAGUCUCACUCUGUUGCCCAGGCUGGAGUGUAGUGUUGUAAUCUCUGCUUGGCUCACUGCAACCUCAACCUCCCGGAUUCAAGUGAUCCUCCCACCUCAGCCUCUCUAGUAGCUGGGAAUACAGGUGUGAACCACCACACCUGGCUAAUUUUUGUAUUUUUAGUAGAGAUGGGGUUUCACCAUGUUGGCCAGGCUGGUCUCAAACUCCUGACCUCAGGUGAUCCACCCACCUCGGCCUCCCAAAGUGUUGGGAUUACAGGCGUGAGCCACUGCGCCCAGCCUAUUUUAUCUUAUCUUAUUUUAUUUUUAUUUUAUUUUAUUUAAAUAGAGACAGGGUCUCACUAUGUUCCCCAGGCUGGUCUUGAAUUCCUGGCCUCAAGUGGUCCUCCCACCUAGGCCUCCCAAAGUGCUGGGAUCACAGGUGUGAACCAUCAUGCCUGGCCAAAAGCUGUCUUCAAAUGACGAAACAGCUACCAUGAGGCAGCCAGCUUAGAUUUUAGUCUGUAUUGUUCUAAAGGAGAGAGGCAUCUUGCAGUUCCACUCAAGAAAGACUUUCCUAGCAAGACUUUCCAACAAUGCAAAUAGUCUCAUUUCUGAGGUGGUCAGCCCCUUACUGCAGGAAGUUCCAAUCAGAAGCCUCAUGGUUGUCGAGGACUCUGCAUCAGGUGAGAGUUAGGACGUAUGCUGUGAUUCUUGAGGUUCAGUGUAAUCAGGUAUGUACUAAGCCAUAACAUGUGGCAGGAACAGGCACACAGGUUAUCACCUCUAUUUACAGAUGAGGGGGCUUGAGUAACUUUACCCCAUGAGGAAGCAGAAGAUCAAGAAUUCCUAUCUACAGAAUGGAAUACCAUCCAACCAUUUAAAAAGAAUGAAAUCCUGGCCAGGGGCAGUGGCUCACACCUGUAUCCCAGCACUUUGGGAGGCCAAGGCGGGUGGAUCACGGGGUCAGGAGAUCAAGAGCAUCCUGGCUAGCAUGGUGAAACCCCGUCUCUACUAAAAACACAAAAAAAUUAGCCAGGCAUGGUGGUGGGCACCUGUAGUCCCAGCUACUCAUGAGGUUGAGGCAGGAGAAUGGUGUGAACCCGGGAGGUGGAGCUUGCAGUGAGCCAAGAUCGCACCACUGAACUCCAGCCUGGGCGACAGAGUACAAAAAAAUAAAGAAAGAAAGAAUGAAAUCCUGUCAUUUGCAGCAACAUGGAUGGAACUGGAGGUCAUUAUGUUAAGUGAAAUAAGCCAGGCACAAAAAGAUAAAUAUUACAUGUUCUCAUUCAUAUGUGGGAGCUAAAAAUGUUGAUCUCAUGGAGGUAGAAGGUAGACUGAUCAUUACCAGAGGCUGGGAAGGUAGGGUGGGGCGGGGAGGAAGAGAGGUUGGUUAAUGGGUACAAACAUAUAUUUAGAUAGAAGGAGUAAGUUCUGGUGUUCAAAAGCACAAUAGGGUGACUAUGGUUCAAAACAAGAUAUUGGCUAUUUCAUAGUAGCUAGGAGAGAAGAUUUCAAAUGUUCCCAACACAAAGAAAUUAUAAAAGUUUGACGUCAUAGGAAUCCUCAACAUCCUGAUUUGAUCACUCCAUAUUGUAUGCAUGUAUCAGAAUACCACAUGUACCCCAUAAACAUGUGCAAUUAUUAUGCAUCAAUUAAAGCAAUUUUUUAAAAAAGAAUUCAUAUCCAGAUCAUUCGAAGUCCUGCAUGUAGUCCACUCACCUCCAGGAGAGGCUGCAAACAUCAAGAUGAAGCCUCCUCUGCAGCUCCUGGGUCCUCAGAUGUGCCUCUGCUGCCUGCUCUUUCCUCCCUAAAAAUGCUGCCCAGAUUAUCAUGCAAUGGCCCAACAGCUGCUGCUCCAAAAGUUUCAGGCACAGGGCUCAGCUUCCAUACUGCUGGACAGCAGGCAUCUUGUUUGAU